AGCGCUGCGUCCCACCCUGCAGGACCUCCUGGGGGGACAUCAUCACGAAGAAUUGCCCGGUGGGGGUGGGCUGCCCCAGCAGCGCCUCUGAGUUCUGCGUGGUGACGACAGCGGUGGCGGUGGUCCCGGCGCCGGCGGAUGUGCUGCUGUCGGCCACGGCCGCGGUGGGGAAAUAGGUGUAGUGGGUCUCAGUGGCCGUCGCCUCCGUCUCCACCGCAUCGUCGCUGGUGAAGGCGCCCUGGAUGACGGCCUGUGUCAUGGACUGCGCGGCGGGGUACCCGCUGAUGGCGCUGGUGCCUUCCGUCUGUCCGUCCAGCUGUCCG
rnacentral:lncRNA from 1 species